AAAUGCUUCUUCGUCUCUUUCCAUAUUCUUUCGUUUAGUUUGCCCUCUCUCUCCAUAAAUUUCGUGUUUCCAGUUAUCGAACUCCUAAAAACGCGAUGACGACGACUUUUACAAAGGCCAGGGCAAUUAUCUCGCAAGCGAGUCAGCUUCAUCUAUCAAUCUACUUCGUCAGCGUAGGGGAUGAUGAAGAAAAUUUAUUCUGUAGUGGAUUCUUGCUGUGUUUUAAAUCUUGAAUCUUAAUUUCAUGUCUAACCUAUGUUGUAGAGCAUGAUUGUUGCAAUGCAUGUGAAGAUGUUUGCAAAGCAUAUAUAAAGACAGUUUGAGGAGUAAUGAAUCCAUAUUUCAUUGACCAGGUGAAUUGCUGAUAAAAAGGUUUCAUUGUUGUUGUAGUAUCACUGAUUGUUGCCUGUUUGAGGUUUUUUUGCAACGAGUAGAGGAUGAAGUAGGUGAAGGGUGUAAAAUAUAUGUGUUCUUGGAGGUGAAAAAAGUUGCGUAAAAGUUCCACUGGUGUAGUCUCACACUCCCGUUUAUUUUAUCAUGCUCUCUAAGGGACUUACAUUUUUCAGAGUCCAGUGGAGUGUGAGAAGACUCCCUUGGCCAAGAAGUCGUUAAAGAUUCCUUUGGUGUUGGCUUAUGGACACCAUUCUUACAAGGAAGGUCCAGUUCCAAGAAGUUGAGCUGGUAAGAGCAACCAGGCCGCUCAAAGAGGCGUUUCCAAUCGCUAGCCAACAAACGACAAGAUGCGCGGCAGCCCAACGAGUGAUCCAAUCACUCACCACUCAAGUAAUUUCAUAGCUAAAUAAAUAGUAAUAAUGGUUUAUGCGAUUACAAGUUUUUCUUAUGUUAUAAACAUCAACAAAAUUAUGGAGCUGGAAGACAUGGCUGAAAGAUUACCAUUUGGAUCAUCUCGAAAUAUAAAGUCUCCUCCGUCUCUUACUAUUUUCUUCCUGCCCUGGUCGUGUUGACCCUUUUAAUAUCUUACACCGACCAAAAAUGUUCAAGCACCCGAGCAAAAUUGUGCAAAUUCCUGAUGUUUUCUAAUGGGACCAUUACACAUGUAUUUGGAAAUGGUAAAGCAUCGAUUAAAGCACAGAACGACAAGGGAUGGUUGAACAGGAUGAGCUUGGUGUCUACAUCAGUCAAACGUGUCCGUUUCAGCCGAAAAAAUUUAAGAGCGAAACGGGAGGAACAGGGUGGCCAGAAAACACAGGAAGAGUACACGACCAAUACAAUUUAUGAAUUGUUGACAAAGCCAAUGUGGAAAUGCCUCUUUGAAACUCUUUUAACACCAACCACUUCUCUUAUUCUUCCACGCAGGGUCAGGUGAGUGCAGUAUCUUGGGGUAUAAGAAAUAUAUAUAGAGGAAAUUAGAUGUUAUAAAAUAUUAUAUGUGCUUCUUUCAUUGCAGUUUGGGGGCUGAGAAUGGUGUUUGUUGUGAAAAAAGGUUGUAAAUUCUUUGUGAUGUUCACACUGUAAAUUCUAUAAGCCAAUUCUUUUUAU